rnacentral:rRNA from 1 species
GAUGAACGCUGGCGGCGUGCCUAAUACAUGCAAGUCGAGCGAACAGAUGAGGAGCUUGCUCCUCUGACGUUAGCGGCGGACGGGUGAGUAACACGUGGAUAACCUACCUAUAAGACUGGGAUAACUUCGGGAAACCGGAGCUAAUACCGGAUAAUAUAUUGAACCGCAUGGUUCAAUAGUGAAAGACGGUUUUGCUGUCGCUUAUAGAUGGAUCCGCGCCGCAUUAGCUAGUUGGUAAGGUAACGGCUUACCAAGGCAACGAUGCGUAGCCGACCUGAGAGGGUGAUCGGCCACACUGGAACUGAGACACGGUCCAGACUCCUACGGGAGGCAGCAGUAGGGAAUCUUCCGCAAUGGGCGAAAGCCUGACGGAGCAACGCCGCGUGAGUGAUGAAGGUCUUCGGAUCGUAAAACUCUGUUAUUAGGGAAGAACAAAUGUGUAAGUAACUAUGCACGUCUUGACGGUACCUAAUCAGAAAGCCACGGCUAACUACGUG